rnacentral:lncRNA from 1 species
AGCUGGAGGACUUGGAUGGGUUUGAGGGUUACUCCCUGAGUGACUGGCUGUGCCUGGCUUUUGUGGAAAGCAAGUUCAACAUAUCAAAGAUAAAUGAAAAUGCAGACGGAAGCUUUGACUAUGGCCUCUUCCAGAUCAACAGCCACUACUGGUGCAACGAUUAUAAGAGUUACUCGGAAAACCUUUGCCACGUAGACUGUCAAGGCAUCCACUGCGCAAAAAGGAUUGUGUCCGGAGCACGGGGGAUGAACAACUGGUGAGGAGGACACGGUGGGACUCAGCGGGCAGAGCCCCACGAAGGAGGACGUGACAGAGAAAAGGG